rfam:Natranaerobius trueperi strain DSM 18760 ZB100094, whole genome shotgun sequence.
GGCCGGUGAUUGGGGUGAAGUCGUAACAAGGUAGCCGUAUCGGAAGGUGCGGCUGGAUCACCUCCUUU